rnacentral:rRNA from 1 species
GACGAACGCUGGCGGCGUGCCUAAUACAUGCAAGUAGAACGCUGAAGGAGGAGCUUGCUCUUCUGGAUGAGUUGCGAACGGGUGAGUAACGCGUAGGUAACCUGCCUGGUAGCGGGGGAUAACUAUUGGAAACGAUAGCUAAUACCGCAUAAGAGUAGAUGUUGCAUGACAUUUACUUAAAAGGUGCAAUUGCAUCACUACCAGAUGGACCUGCGUUGUAUUAGCUAGUUGGUGGGGUAACGGCUUACCAAGGCGACGAUACAUAGCCGACCUGAGAGGGUGAUCGGCCACACUGGGACUGAGACACGGCCCAGACUCCUACGGGAGGCAGCAGUAGGGAAUCUUCGGCAAUGGACGGAAGUCUGACCGAGCAACGCCGCGUGAGUGAAGAAGGUUUUCGGAUCGUAAAGCUCUGUUGUAAGAGAAGAACGAGUGUGAGAGUGGAAAGUGCACACUGGGACGGUAUCUUACCAGAAAGGGACGGCGAACUACGU